CUCCUGCUGGUCGCUGCUCUCGGCUACACCCUCGCCAAGUGGUAUCAACGAGGCUACUGUUGGGACGAACAAACCGGUCCCACCCAUUCUCUCUGAGUAAAGCAACGACCUCAGGAGUCUCCAGCAAGACUCCACUCGGCCCCGGGUGGGCUAACGAAGCUCUACCAGUGGCGAAUGGGCAGAUCUGGCUGCAAAACUCGGCACUGGGGCUGGCUAUUUACAAGUGCUCACUCUUGUGCCCUCACGCCAGCCAACAUGAU
rnacentral:lncRNA from 1 species